CAGCCGCGGUAAUACGUAGGGUGCGAGCGUUAAUCGGAAUUACUGGGCGUAAAGCGUGCGCAGGCGGUCUGUUAAGACCGAUGUGAAAUCCCCGGGCUUAACCUGGGAACUGCAUUGGUGACUGGCAGGCUUUGAGUGUGGCAGAGGGAGGUAGAAUUCCACGUGUAGCAGUGAAAUGCGUAGAGAUGUGGAGGAAUACCGAUGGCGAAGGCAGCCUCCUGGGCCAACACUGACGCUCAUGCACGAAAGCGUGGGGAGCAAACAGGAUUAGAUACCCUGGUAGUCCACGCCCUAAACGAUGUCAACUAGUUGUUGGGGAUUCAUUUCCUUAGUAACGUAGCUAACGCGUGAA
rnacentral:rRNA from 1 species